AACGUAGGUCACAAGCGUUGUCCGGAAUUACUGGGUGUAAAGGGAGCGCAGGCGGGAAGACAAGUUGGAAGUGAAAUCUAUGGGCUCAACCCAUAAACUGCUUUCAAAACUGUUUUUCUUGAGUAGUGCAGAGGUAGGCGGAAUUCUCGGUGUAGCGGUGGAAUGCGUAGAUAUCGGGAGGAACACCAGUGGCGAAGGCGGCCUACUGGGCACCAACUGACGCUGAGGCUCGAAAGUGUGGGUAGCAAACAGG
rnacentral:rRNA from 1 species